rnacentral:misc_RNA from 1 species
ACGGACACGCAUGACUAUGAAGUCAAAAUGCGAAACGUGUUCAAGUUUCUUGAAAACGGCGACAAGGUCAAAGUCACCUUGCGAUUUCGGGGUCGCGAAAUGGCGCACCAGAAUUUGGGGCGUGAAUUGCUGGAACGGGUCGCCGAGGACACCAAGGAAAUCGGGCGGAUCGAGAACUUUCCGAAAAUGGAAGGCCGCCAGAUGAUAAUGCUGAUCGGCCCCCUGCCGAACAAGUAGAGACGACACCAGGAACUUUAUGUUCUGCCAGGUAGACAAUAAUCAAGAUCCCUGUCUUCGGACGGGGA